CUGUUUCAAAGCCACUCCAAGAGGGGAAAGAAAUUAGGCCCUUUCAGAGAAGGGAUCUGGAGUUUGGGUUUUAUUUAACUGUACAUUCCAUUUCAGCGCUGCUGUUGCCUUGAUGUUGUGGGAUGUUGGUGGCUGUUAUUCCUCCAGCAGCUGUGUGGAAGGAACCCUGGGGCUUGAGGGGGUCCCGGAGCUCAUCACGCGCACACUGCUGUGGGAGGACCCACAGCUCUUUGGUGAACUAUUGUGAUGUCAGUUUUACUCAAACCAGUGGAGCGCUUUGCUCUCCAAGAGGCUUUGAUGAUCUUAAAUUUCUUUGAAGAGCGGACAACCUUAACCUGGAGGACGGACAGCAAACUUCCAGUGCUUUCUGCGCAUGGAGAUGAGAUUAUUAGACAGAUGCAGAUCAAAAGAAUUCCCAAGGUGUUCGGCUGUAGCACAGAGAGAGACUUUGGGAUUGGAGGUGUGAAGGCUGUGAGGAUGAUGUGAGGUGGUCUGUGAAGUGAUGGGUAAAUGCAGGAAGCCCAGCCUGGUGCUGGCAGUGACUGCAUCUACCUGGUAUGGGAGCAAAUCCAACAUUAGAGUUUUAAGUGAGCUCGAUUUGAGAGGAGGAGAGUUCAACGACCGUUUAGAUAAAGCAUUCACUAAGAAGAAAUGACUGAAGCCAUCAACUGUCAAUAGCUGCUUGGUUAGGGGCCAGCACUUCUGGACCUCUGGCUGCGGCCUGGGACACAGAGGUGUCUUUUUUUAAUCUCAUUUUUUUUAAAGUGCGCAUUUAGAGCUACAUUUAGAGGGUCUUGCUUCAGCUACUGUCAAGGAGGCUUGUUAGGAAUAUGAAGAUGAGGUGCUUAGAAAGGUGAAUCUCCAUCAAAAAGAGCAAACCAGCGCUGGAAGGAGUUUCAGCAUCAGCCUAUGACUGUGCCAGGCACACAGCAUUUACGUCAACACAGAAAGAGAAUCUGCUUACUUAUAUGAGUUUCCAAAACCAGAUCUGAUGGACUAGAGAGAUGGCUCAGCCACUAAGAGAGAUGACUGCCCUAGCAGAAGACCAGAGAUAUCUCUGUUUUCAGCACCCAUGUUGGACAUCUUAGAACCAUCUCUAAAUCCGGCUCUAGGUGAUCCAAUGUCUUCUUCCCAGACUCCAAGGGCACCUGUACUCAAGUGCACAAACCCACAUUUUAAAAAAAA